UAUAGCUCUUAUUUGCUGCAAAAUAUUCCAUAUCCACCGCUGGAACCACUAGUGCAAUCUAGCGUGCCAAAAUCCUUCACCAGUAUCCCCUCUUUUUGGUCCAAAAAUCCGGCAGGAGAGAACAUACACGAGGCACAAUCAGCAGAAAGCAGAGUAGUUGUCCUGUACUUGUCUUCACCUCCCACAACUGGCAUUGCUACUCCUGGCUUUGCAGGGUUCUUGAAAUCAGGCUGGUAAGUCCUUCCAAGAACUCCUUCAACCUUCGAGGAUAAGCCAUAAAACUUGAAUUGAACCUCUAAGUGAACAAAACAGUCAUCAGAAGGUAUCUGGUAAUUGUGAAUUCUAUCAUCUUCUUUAGUUACGGGCACAACAUUGACUGAUAUCUCUGCAAACUCUGGGAGAGUGACUAGGACACUGUUCUUGCUUGAAGUUCUGUCCACUCUAAUGUUGCUUUCUGGGGACUGCCAUGAAGAUAAAUGGUCUUCUGGUAUCACUAGCUCUUUGCCGUUGUGGGUGAAUCUUAGAUGAUCAAUUUCAUCAUCCCAUUUUUCUGCUUUGGUGGCCUCAAGAGAGAAAGUGUGUGAAUCAAAGAGGAUUCCAAGGGCUUGAAUCCAAGUAUAGUCCCUGGUUCUGCCUGCUGGUCGGAGCCCAAUGAAGCGGGCAUUGAUUUGCAGGUUGAGAUCAGAUAAUAAGCUGAAAUGCUCAUUACUCUUGCCAUGGAAGUAAAAGACAAUGCCAUCUCCACCAAUGAAGCGAGGGUCCAAGCACGCCGCUCCAGGCGCAUUACAAUUAGGUUUUCGAUCUAUAAAUCACCAAACAGAAACUUGUAAGCAAUAGAGUUACCAUACACAUCAAAUGAAGAAGUUCAUUUAUGCAAAGUUAUAGAGAAAUAGUAGUUCAUUUACGUUAAGUUAUAGAGAAAUAGUCUUACUUCUGCAUUCAGGCUUGCAUAUUGGUGAAGCACAGUUAAUAUAGCAAGCUUUUACAUUUGGCUUGGUUGGAUAUAGCUGUGGACAUUCAGCUGGACAACUUAGCUUCUG
rnacentral:misc_RNA from 1 species